rnacentral:rRNA from 1 species
UACGUAGGGUGCGAGCGUUAAUCGGAAUUACUGGGCGUAAAGCGUGCGCAGGCGGUUUUGUAAGCCAGAUGUGAAAUCCCCGGGCUUAACCUGGGAAUGGCAUUUGGGACUGCAAGGCUCGAGUGCGGCAGAGGAGACUGGAAUUCCUGGUGUAGCGGUGAAAUGCGCAGAUAUCGUAAGGAAGACCAGUGGCGAAGGCGGGUCUCUGGACAGUUCCUGACGCUGAGGCACGAAGGCCAGGGGAGCAAACGGG